CUGGCUCAGGAUGAACGCUGGCGGCGUGCCUAAUACAUGCAAGUCGAACGAAACUUCUUUAUCACCGAGUGCUUGCACUCACCGAUAAAGAGUUGAGUGGCGAACGGGUGAGUAACACGUGGGCAACCUGCCCAAAAGAGGGGGAUAACACUUGGAAACAGGUGCUAAUACCGCAUAACCAUAGUUACCGCAUGGUAACUAUGUAAAAGGUGGCUAUGCUACCGCUUUUGGAUGGGCCCGCGGCGCAUUAGCUAGUUGGUGAGGUAAAGGCUUACCAAGGCAAUGAUGCGUAGCCGAACUGAGAGGUUGAUCGGCCACAUUGGGACUGAGACACGGCCCAAACUCCUACGGGAGGCAGCAGUAGGGAAUCUUCCACAAUGGGCGAAAGCCUGAUGGAGCAACGCCGCGUGGGUGAAGAAGGUCUUCGGAUCGUAAAACCCUGUUGUUAGAGAAGAAAGUGCGUGAGAGUAACUGUUCACGUUUCGACGGUAUCUAACCAGAAAGCCACGGCUAACUACGUGCCAGCAGCCGCGGUAAUACGUAGGUGGCAAGCGUUAUCCGGAUUUAUUGGGCGUAAAGGGAACGCAGGCGGUCUUUUAAGUCUGAUGUGAAAGCCUUCGGCUUAACCGGAGUAGUGCAUUGGAAACUGGGAGACUUGAGUGCAGAAGAGGAGAGUGGAACUCCAUGUGUAGCGGUGAAAUGCGUAGAUAUAUGGAAGAACACCAGUGGCGAAAGCGGCUCUCUGGUCUGUAACUGACGCUGAGGUUCGAAAGCGUGGGUAGCAAACAGGAUUAGAUACCCUGGUAGUCCACGCCGUAAACGAUGAAUGCUAAGUGUUGGAGGGUUUCCGCCCUUCAGUGCUGCAGCUAACGCAAUAAGCAUUCCGCCUGGGGAGUACGACCGCAAGGUUGAAACUCAAAGGAAUUGACGGGGGCCCGCACAAGCGGUGGAGCAUGUGGUUUAAUUCGAAGCAACGCGAAGAACCUUACCAGGUCUUGACAUCUUCUGACAAUCCUAGAGAUAGGACUUUCCCUUCGGGGACAGAAUGACAGGUGGUGCAUGGUUGUCGUCAGCUCGUGUCGUGAGAUGUUGGGUUAAGUCCCGCAACGAGCGCAACCCUUAUUGUUAGUUGCCAGCAUUAAGUUGGGCACUCUAGCAAGACUGCCGGUGACAAACCGGAGGAAGGUGGGGAUGACGUCAAAUCAUCAUGCCCCUUAUGACCUGGGCUACACACGUGCUACAAUGGACGGUACAACGAGUCGCAAGACCGCGAGGUUUAGCAAAUCUCUUAAAGCCGUUCUCAGUUCGGAUUGUAGGCUGCAACUCGCCUACAUGAAGUCGGAAUCGCUAGUAAUCGCGGAUCAGCAUGCCGCGGUGAAUACGUUCCCGGGCCUUGUACACACCGCCCGUCACACCAUGAGAGUUUGUAACACCCAAAGCCGGUGGGGUAACCUUUUGGAGCCAGCCGUCUAAGGUGGGACAGAUGAUUGGGGUGAAGUCGU
rnacentral:rRNA from 1 species